rnacentral:rRNA from 1 species
UACGAAGGGUGCAAGCGUUACUCGGAAUUACUGGGCGUAAAGCGUGCGUAGGUGGUUUCUUAAGUCUGCUGUGAAAGCCCCGGGCUCAACCUGGGAAUUGCAGUGGAUACUGGGAAGCUAGAGUGAGGUAGAGGGUAGUGGAAUUCCCGGUGUAGCGGUGAAAUGCGUAGAGAUCGGGAGGAACACCUGCGGUGCAGACGGCUUUCUGGACCAUGGCUGACGCUGAGACACGAAAGCGUGGGUAGCAAACAGG